GAGGAAUUCCUCGGCCAGUAGUUCAGGAAGGCGUAGCCGCGCGCCUGAUCGAUGGCGUGAAAGAGCGGGUUCCAGUCGAACAUCGCCAGCAUCUUCGGCGGCAGCAUGUUGGCCGCGAACAUCUUGCCCGAGGCGAUCAUGUUGGCGCGGGC
rnacentral:ncRNA from 1 species